rnacentral:rRNA from 1 species
AUUGAACGCUGGCGGCAGGCCUAACACAUGCAAGUCGAGCGAGCGGCGGACGGGUGAGUAAUGUAUGGGGACCUGCCCGAUGGAGGGGGUUAACUACUGGAAACGGUGGCUAAUACCGCAUACCAUCAGAUGUACCCAGAUGGGAUUAGCUAGUAGGUGGGGUAAAGGCUCACCUAGGCGACGAUCUCUAGCUGGUCUGAGAGGAUGAUCAGCCACAGUGGGACUGAGACACGGCCCAGACUCCUACGGGGGGCAGCAGUGGGGAAUAUUGGCAAUUGGGCGCAAGCCGGAUGCAGCCAUGCCGCGUGGAGGAAGAAGGCCUUAGGGUUGUAAAGUACUUUCAGCGAGGAGGCGUUACCCGCAGAAGAAGCACCGGCUAACUCCGUGCCAGCAGCCGCGGUAAUAC